UUUUGACUUCCAAGUGUAGACAAAGCGGGCCAACUGGUUUUUGUUGUUGUUGUUGUUGUUUCUUCGUAAGUAACUAAUGAGGGUUAUUAUUAUUUUAUUUUUUUGUUAACUGCGUCGAAGUCCUCCAAGAAGGCAGGGCGAAAAAGCCGCCCCAUUGAAAUGAAUAACAUUUAAAAACUACUGCUCCCUGGAAGAACCGGAUAUCGUGCUAAGGAAUCAUUUAGACCUCGGCCCCUUCGAGGAAACGGCGAUGGCGUCAUCAAAUGGGGCCGAUAUCAGCUGCGAAUACGCCGAUGGACUGGCCGCGACGGCAGGCCAGACGACAGAAGUUCCCAUCGUCCCUCUCAGAGCGGCCUGGUCCGGUUGCCAUGGAGACAGCCGCCGUACUGCGCGUGAAGAGAAAGCGCGGAGGGUCUUUGCCGGCCGAAGCGCUGGUCCUUGCCAGCAAGCGCUUCCGCAGUGAGGCUGGGGCUGCCGCCGAGGCCGCCUCCUCGCCCGGAGAGGGCGAGGUGGAGAAGACUCUCUUCAAGUUGGUAGCCACUGUAAGCUCGGAGGCCGAACCUGUUGACAAAUAUGUACAAGAAGCUUUUACCCAUCAGAAAGGAGGCCAGAUCCUGCGACCUGCUCUAGGGAGUGCUCAAAGAAUAAUUCAGGAUCUUCGUUCUUCAAAGCACGCCAAAAGGCAGGAAAGCCGCUACCGCCUGAUCACUAGCCUCCGUCCAAAUAUCAGCAAUGGAGCAAAUGCUGCUCUUGGAGCAAAUGAGAAAGAAUCUGAUGAAAAGAAACAGUCUUCCGUGUCUGAGAAAGAAAAAAAUGACAGCACGUCUGGCUGCUAUAGAGACUUUCAGUUCUUUGAUAUUAUACAGGAGGAGCAGGUGGAAAAUGAUACAUCUGCUUCCCAUUUACAGAAAUCAGAUCCGGAUGUCAUCCUUUGCAAUGCCGUAGAGAUGAUUCGUGAACGUUUAACAGUAUCUGACAACAGUAAAGAAGCAGAGGAUUGCUUAAAUAAAGAAGAAUACGUUUAUGAUAUCUACUGUACGGAAACAGCUACACCGGGGUGGAUUGAGAACAUUCUCUCUGUACAACCUUACACUCAAGAGUUUGACUUGAUGGAUGAAGAGCACUUCACUGAAGAAACCUAUGACGAUGAAGAUGAUGAGAAUAACGAGAACAACUGGCGUAAUGACUAUCCAGAUGAAGAUGAGUUUUUUGAUGAAGGUGAAGAAUCAGAAAAAAAGAGUGGGGACACCAGUGAUGAAGACUGUGGAUACAUCAGACGAUCAUGGGAGGAGUAUGAAUCUGAAGUCCUGCAGGAGUUUGACUACGAUGGAGUCAAAGAACUGGAUUCCGAGUAGCUUGCAGGAUCUUUCGUAUUUGUGAAACCCCCAUGUACGAUGUGGCCUUAGCAAAUCGUGGCACCACAGCCCUAACUUGUCACCCUGUUUUUGGCCAGAGCAUCUUCAAGUCAAGAGAGAGCAGAUUGCCUUAGUGCGCAGCAUCUUCUAAAAUGAAGUGAUCCAAGUGACGUUUGCUAUUUUUGGACCUCAACCAUGGCAUGGUGCAAGAAAAGCCUGAAAUUGACAGUUUAACUGGCAUUUUGGCAGAAGCAAACUAGAGAAGCUGAUCUGUGCCAGCCCCUCGUUGGCUUUACCAUCACAGAAUUAUGGGUCCAAACUCUACAAUGUCUCUCAUAGAAUGGUACUUGGACUCUGCAAUUAUUGCAGCAUCCAUUUCCGUCAGAACACAAUCACAAAGUAACUGAGUGGAUCGAGUGACAGCACCUGGAGAAGGAGCAGAUUGGAGAUUCAGCCAUGGAAUUAUGAACGAUUACUUCAAAACCGAGUUGCUUGCUAAACCAAGAUGGGCAUCGUAUGCCUCAGAACAGAGGAUGCUUCUGUUUUUAUGCAUUUGCUGCAAAUCCAAUCAUCCAGUUUAAUUUUUACAUAAAUUGUGGAUGCUGCAAUUUUUUUCCUUUAGUAACAAUCUGUUGAGCAGAUAUUACAAUAGCCACAAUCACUCCAUGCACAGACAGAAACAUAUGACUAGUUUUUCUUUUUCUUUUCUUUUUUUCCUAAUUACUUGG